GGAGACUGGCUGUACCUUAAUGGUAGAGCAUUGGGUUUGCAAUCAAAAGGUCCAAAGUUCAAUCCCCGGCAUCUUCA